GACGAACGCUGGCGGCGUGCCUAAUACAUGCAAGUCGAGCGCAGGAAAUCGACGGAACCCUUCGGGGGGAAGUCGACGGAAUGAGCGGCGGACGGGUGAGUAACACGUAAAGAACCUGCCCUCAGGUCUGGGAUAACCACGAGAAAUCGGGGCUAAUACCGGAUGGGUCAUCGGACCGCAUGGUCCGAGGAUGAAAGGCGCUCCGGCGUCGCCUGGGGAUGGCUUUGCGGUGCAUUAGCUAGUUGGUGGGGUAAUGGCCCACCAAGGCGACGAUGCAUAGCCGACCUGAGAGGGUGAUCGGCCACACUGGGACUGAGACGCGGCCUAGACUCCUACGGGAGGCAGCAGUAGGGAAUCUUCCACAAUGGACGAAAGUCUGAUGGAGCAACGCCGCGUGAACGAUGAAGGCCUUCGGGUCGUAAAGUUCUGUUGUAAGGGAAGAACAAGUGCCGCAGGCAAUGGCGGCACCCUGACGGUACCUUGCGAGAAAGCCACGGCUAACUACGUGCCAGCCGCCGCCGUAA
rnacentral:rRNA from 1 species